rnacentral:lncRNA from 1 species
ACACCCUCCAUGGCCAGAGGCCAAGGAAAAGAAGCACCCUAAGAUUGUUCAAGUGGUGCCCACUCUGGCCUGAAUUCCCAUUGGGAAAAAUACCUCGAAAAUGAGCAUUUCUGCAGGCAUGUUUGGAAAAGCAGGCAGUGAAGUACGCAGUCCAAGUGGCUCUCAAUCUGGAUGAACCUCAUUAAAAAGCUGACACUCAGCUAUGACUAAGAGUAAAUGCAACAGAUAUUUCAAGCAGCUCGUCACUGAUGCAGUUCAUAACCCUCCCAGCUGGAGUCAGGCCCCAGCAGCCUCCCGGUCCCCAAACACCCUGCACUCGGAGGGUCGGGGCAGCCCCGGAGCUUCUCCUAACCCACUGGGGGUAGGAUAUGUAAACAAGUCAUUAGGGAGGCAGGCCAUCGGCAAAGACGGCCGGCAAUAGCAGAGGCUGCUGAACCUCGGUCACCGAGAGGAAGGUGGAUGACCCGGGCGUGGGGGUGAUUACCCAGACCAAGGCGCGUCCCACGGGGCCCUGCUACUUCGCUUUUAAACAAGCCUCAGGGAGGAAACCGGGAGCCCGGGCCAAGGGAGGAAAAUGGCCACUUUCUGCUAAACAGUCUCAAGGCUAGAUAGUAUUCCAAAAAAAGCGCUGGUCCGGAGGUGCAAAGGGUAGGGCACAUCUGCGGAGGAAACAGUCACCUUAAUUACCACGUCUAGAGAAAGUGCGAUUUCAUUACAGCCUCCAAAACUACCGCCCAAAGAAGGAAACCAGAGAAGUGUUUUCAAUUUGAAAGAGGCUGGAAAGAAGCGGGUAAGACACCGACUCUCCCCACCCUCCCGGCAACUUUGGACCACAAGGCGCUUUCCUGCCUCAAAGACUAUUACCAAACACAACUCGAAAAUCCAACCCCGCUUUCAAACCUGUAGCCGUUAUUUAAACGGUAAAACACCCCACUUUAGUUUCCGGGGGAUGCGGCCCAAAUCAGUCCUUAAAAACACACAGAGAGCGCCUCUGGCAGCAGCCGCCCACGCCCCCGGCCCUGCGCACCGGGCUUGCUCCGGGAGGGGCGCGUGACGCCACCGCGGGGCAGCCGAGAGGGGACCGCGGGCUCCGGGCAGGGCAGGCGCUCCCGCAGCUCCAGCUAUAACACAAGGGAGAGAAAGCAACGCUUUGGUUCCAGAAACUUCCAUCGUCAAGGCCAGUUCUGGCCAGACGCACAGCCAAAGAGCCCCCCUAGUCUAGCGGAUGAACCGUUCGCGAGUGGCACCCCCUAAAACCUUGGCCCCAUCUCCCAAGAUGCCUCUUUACUGCGCAAUCCAGAAAGCACCCGGACCGCCGCCACCCACCAGCGGCGGCGAAUAACUUGGUGAGAAAACUGAGGCCCAACCAGCUUGAAGUGUCAUCCAAGGUCACUCCGCAGAACUCAUGCAGGCGCUCGCUCUCUCCCCCACACCUGGAAGGAUGGGUUGUCAAGGCAACUUCUUGAAGGCACCAGCAUCCACAGUGCCAUCGGUCCCCAAGGACCCACUGAAGCCGGCUGUGGAGGAAGGAGGCCGUCCCUCGGGUUGGCUCUGGAGAGACAUGAAGAGUCUAGUCCUCUGGAAUAUCCAAUCCCAAGCUAAGACCCUCCCUCCUGGACCCAUCUUAGUGGGAGGCCAAAUCUUCCGCAAGACGCGAAGCUGAAACAUCGGACCCAGCCCUGGUGC